rnacentral:rRNA from 1 species
GGGUCAGUAGGUUGGUCGUGCCACCGGUACGUACUGGUCUCACUGAUUCCUCCUUCCUGAAGAACCGUAAUGCCAUCAAUUUGGUGUUGCGGGGAAACAGGACUGUUACUUUGAAAAAAUUAGAGUGUUUAAAGCAGGCUAACGCUUGAAUACAUUAGCAUGGAAUAAUGAAAUAGGACGAUCGAUCCUAUUUUGUUGGUUUCUAGGAUUGACGCG